rnacentral:rRNA from 1 species
ACGGGAACCUUUGGAUUCGUCUGAAGGUGAGAGUGGCGGACGGGUGAGUAACACGUAGGUGACCUGCCCCGGAGAGGGGGACAACCACUGGAAACGGUGGCUAAUACCCCAGAUGUUAGUGCGCUUAGAAAGCAUUGACUAAAGCCCCGGCGCUCCGGGAGGGGCCUGCGGCCCAUCAGCUUGUUGGUAAGGUAAUGGCUUACCAAGGCAAAGACGGGUAGGGGGCGUGAGAGCGUGACCCCCCACACUGGUACUGAGACACGGACCAGAUACCUGCGGGUAGCAGCAGCAAGGAAUAUUGCCCAAUGGACGAAAGUCUGAGGCAGCAACACCGCGUGGAGGAUGAAGGCCUUCGGGUUGUAAUCUCCUUUUCUGGGGGAAGAGAUAGGACGGUACCCCAGGAAUAAGUCUCGGCUAACUACGUGCCAGCAGCCGCGGUAAAACGUAGGAGGCGAGCGUUAUCCGGAUUUACUGGGCGUAAAGCGCAUGCAGGCGGUUUUUUUAAGUCGGACGUGAAAGCUCCUGGCUCAACUAGGAGAGGCCGUUCGAAACUAGGAAACUUGAGGAUGGUAGAGGAGAGUGGAAUUCCCGGUGUGGUGGUGAAAUGCGUAGAUAUCGGGAGGAACACCAGUGGCGAAGGCGGCUCUCUGGGCCAUUCCUGACGCUCAGAUGCGAAAGCUAGGGGAGAGAACGGGAUUAGAAACCCCGGUAUUCCUAGCCGUAAACGAUGUCAACUAGGCGUAGGAGGUUAUUGACCCCUUCUGUGCUGUAGCUAACGCAUUAAGUUGACCGCCUGGGGACUACGGCCGCAAGGCUAAAACUCAAAGGGAUUUGACGGGGACCCGCACAAGCAGC